GACGAACGCUGGCGGCGUGCUUAACACAUGCAAGUCGAACGGUAAGGCCCUUCGGGGUACACGAGUGGCGAACGGGUGAGUAACACGUGGGUAAUCUGCCCUGCACUUCGGGAUAAGCCUGGGAAACUGGGUCUAAUACCGGAUAUUCAGUUCCUGCCGCAUGGUGGGGGUUGGAAAGUUUUUCGGUGCAGGAUGAGCCCGCGGCCUAUCAGCUUGUUGGUGGGGUAAUGGCCUACCAAGGCGACGACGGGUAGCCGGCCUGAGAGGGUGAUCGGCCACACUGGGACUGAGACACGGCCCAGACUCCUACGGGAGGCAGCAGUGGGGAAUAUUGCACAAUGGGCGAAAGCCUGAUGCAGCGACGCCGCGUGGGGGAUGACGGUCUUCGGAUUGUAAACCCCUUUCAGUAGGGACGAAGCGCAAGUGACGGUUCCUGCAGAAGAAGCACCGGCCAACUACGUG
rnacentral:rRNA from 1 species